rnacentral:rRNA from 1 species
UGGGGAAUUUUGGACAAUGGGCGCAAGCCUGAUCCAGCCAUGCCGCGUGCAGGAUGAAGGCCUUCGGGUUGUAAACUGCUUUUGUACGGAACGAAAAGACUCCUUCUAAUAAAGGGGGUACAUGACGGUACCGUAAGAAUAAGCACCGGCUAACUACGUGCCAGCAGCCGCGGUAAUACGUAGGGUGCGAGCGUUAAUCGGAAUUACUGGGCGUAAAGCGUGCGCAGGCGGUUAUAUAAGACAGAUGUGAAAUCCCCGGGCUCAACCUGGGAACUGCAUUUGUGACUGUAUAGCUAGAGUACGGCAGAGGGGGAUGGAAUUCCGCGUGUAGCAGUGAAAUGCGUAGAUAUGCGGAGGAACACCGAUGGCGAAGGCAAUCCCCUGGGCCUGUACUGACGCUCAUGCACGAAAGCGUGGGGAGCAAACAGGAUUAGAUACCCUGGUAGUCCACGCCCUAAACGAUGUCAACUGGUUGUUGGGAAUUCACUUUCUCAGUAACGAAGCUAACGCGUGAAGUUGACCGCCUGGGGAGUACGGCCGCAAGGUUG